CUGAGAUAAGGGUUCUUUUUCCUCUCUUGCAAUAACUGAUAACUUCACUGAACAAGGCAGGGAUAUCUUCUGUAGCUGGGGAAUGUAAUUCUGAACUCAGGACAUGUAAUACACAGAUGCCUCAGUCUGGAUGAAUGUCCUAUCCCGCCAGAUGCUAUUGAACCCAAAGAGAGAUGGACAGUCCUUGUGGCAGCAAAGAGCUUACAAUCAGGGUGUUCCUCGCUUUUACGAGCACUAGUUUCACUCUUUUUUUAAUAGAAAAAAAAUAAAGUUACUGGCUAACCGUUGCCCUGAGGAAUUUUCACUGGGAGCCGCAUGCUCAUGGCUGAGAGCCGGGUUCAACUCACUGUCUAACGUACACCAAGAGCAAGAGGGCCACCCUCUCGAAGAGCUGAUUCCCAUCAAUGGAGGUCAGGGCGAUGUACAAGAAGAGGCCAUAGAGGACUGGCUUCGGGAUCCACUGCAGUGGGAAGGGCAGGAG